rnacentral:misc_RNA from 1 species
GAUGAAGAACGUAGCGAAAUGCGAUAUGUAAUGUGAAUUGCAGAAUUCAGUGAAUCAUCGAAUCUUUGAACGCACAUUGCGCCCUCUGGUAUUCCGGGGGGCAUGCCUGUUCGAGCGUCAUUAUAACCACUCAAGCUCUCGCUUGGUAUUGGGGCUCGCGGUUCCGCGGCCCCUAAAAUCAGUGGCGGUGCCUGUCGGCUCUACGCGUAGUAAUACUCCUCGCGAUUGAGUCCGGUAGGUCUACUUGCCAGCAACCCCCAAUUUUUACAGGUUGACCUCGGAUCAGGUAGGGAUACCCGCUGAACUUAAGCAUAUCAUAACGGAGGA